AAAGGAAAGUCAUCAGCAAGGGUUUGUACAGAGUGCAUAUCACUCCUGGCCCCAGAGAAGACCUGAGAUUGGGUUCUCCCUUCACCCUAACUGGGCUCUCCCCAAGGUGAGUGGGGAGAGUUCCCAGAGAGCAGGACUUCAUGUACAGACAGACUGAAUGGGUAAGGCAGACAGAAGCAACACAUGAUUGUAAUAAACUAUUCUAUUCACAAAAUACAAUAAGAAGGAUUGAGGAUCAAAUCCCUCAACUUUGAGGCCUUU
rnacentral:lncRNA from 14 species